rnacentral:rRNA from 1 species
AUGAUUUCCUUCAGUUCGGCUGGACAAGUGACAGGUGCUGCAUGGCUGUCGUCAGCUCGUGUCGUGAGAUGUUGGGUUAAGUCCCGCAACGAGCGCAACCCUCAUCUUUAGUUGCCAUCAUUCAGUUGGGCACUCUAAAGAAACUGCCGGUGAUAAGCCGGAGGAAGGUGGGGAUGACGUCAAGUCCUCAUGGCCCUUACACGCUGGGCUACACACGUGCUACAAUGGCGGUGACAGUGGGCAGCAACCUCGCGAGGGGUAGCUAAUCUCCAAAAGCCGUCUCAGUUCGGAUUGUUCUCUGCAACUCGAGAGCAUGAAGGCGGAAUCGCUAGUAAUCGCGGAUCAGCAUGCCGCGGUGAAUACGUUCCCAGGCCUUGUACACACCGCCCGUCACACCAUGGGAGUUGGAUUCACCCGAAGGCGUUGCGCUAACCUAGCAAUAGG